GACGAACGCUGGCGGCGUGCCUAAUACAUGCAAGUAGAACGCUGAAGAGAGGAGCUUGCUCUUCUUGGAUGAGUUGCGAACGGGUGAGUAACGCGUAGGUAACCUGCCUUGUAGCGGGGGAUAACUAUUGGAAACGAUAGCUAAUACCGCAUAACAAUGGAUGACCCAUGUCAUUUAUUUGAAAGGGGCAAAUGCUCCACUACAAGAUGGACCUGCGUUGUAUUAGCUAGUAGGUGAGGUAACGGCUCACCUAGGCGACGAUACAUAGCCGACCUGAGAGGGUGAUCGGCCACACUGGGACUGAGACACGGCCCAGACUCCUACGGGAGGCAGCAGUAGGGAAUCUUCGGCAAUAGGGGCAACCCUGACCGAGCAACGCCGCGUGAGUGAAGAAGGUUGUCGGAUCGUAAAGCUCUGUUGUAAGUCAAGAACGAGUGUGAGAGUGGAAAGUUCACACUGUGACGGUAGCUUACCAGAAAGGGACGGCUAACUACGUG
rnacentral:rRNA from 1 species